rnacentral:rRNA from 1 species
GACGAACGCUGGCGGCGUGCUUAACACAUGCAGGUCGAACGGAAAGGCCCUGCUUUUGUGGGGUGCUCGAGUGGCGAACGGGUGAGUAACACGUGAGUAACCUGCCCUUGACUUUGGGAUAACUUCAGGAAACUGGGGCUAAUACCGGAUAGGAGCUCCUGCUGCAUGGUGGGGGUUGGAAAGUUUCGGCGGUUGGGGAUGGACUCGCGGCUUAUCAGCUUGUUGGUGGGGUAGUGGCUUACCAAGGCUUUGACGGGUAGCCGGCCUGAGAGGGUGACCGGCCACAGUGGGACUGAGAUACGGCCCAGACUCCUACGGGAGGCAGCAGUGGGGAAUAUUGCACAAUGGGCGGAAGCCUGAUGCAGCAACGCCGCGUGCGGGAUGACGGCCUUCGGGUUGUAAACCGCUUUCGCCUGUGACGAAGCGUGAGUGACGGUAAUGGGUAAAGAAGCACCGGCUAACUACGUG